rnacentral:rRNA from 1 species
GACGAACGCUGGCGGCGUGCCUAACACAUGCCAGUCGAACGGAAAGGCCCUGCUUUUGUGGGGUGCUCGAGUGGCGAACGGGUGAGUAACACGUGAGUAACCUGCCCUUGACUUUGGGAUAACUUCAGGAAACUGGGGCUAAUACCGGAUAGGAGCUCCUGCUGCAUGGUGGGGGUUGGAAAGUUUCGGCGGUUGGGGCUGGACUCGCGGCUUAUCAGCUUGUUGGUGGGGUAGUGGCUUACCAAGGCUUUGACGGGUAGCCGGCCUGAGAGGUGGACCGGGCACAUGGGGACUAAGAGACGGACCAGACUCCAACGGGAGGCAGCGGUGGAGAGUAUUGCACAAUGGGGGGGAGCGUGAUGAGGCGGCGCCGCGUGCGGGAUGACGGCCUUCGGGUUGUAAACCGCUUUCGCCUGAGACGAAGCGUGAGUGACGGUAAUGGGUAAAGAAGCACCGGCUAACUACGUG